rnacentral:lncRNA from 1 species
GGGGGUGCUGGGGUGGAGAAUGUGACAGAGGACAAGAAUAGAAUACAGUUAUAGAACUGGAAUUCGCUUUUUCAUGCUAAUUUCCCUGGUAAUGAAGGGCAGUGACUCAGAAAAGGAAAGGCAAGCCUCUGGCAGCAAGGCUGUGUGUAGAUUCAUCUAUACCAAGGGAAGGAUGGUGGGGAGGCAGGGAGGAGACAAAAGAAAAGAAUUUCGAAUCCAGGAUUGGCCAAAUAUGAAGAUGAUCUCAGUCUGGCCACGUCCAGGACCUUCUCUUUCCCUCACCUAUCGCCUGAGCCCAGAAAUAUGUUCCAGAGGACAAGGACUGUGUUGUUCAUCGCAGUAUUCCAGAACUUAAAAGGAACUGGCACAUAAUUGGAGCUUACUAAUAUUCGUCAAAAAAAUGAACAAAUGAGGCAAUGACAGUGGUCUUGUGAAGCUGCUGCUAUUUACAGGGACUCACUCAUUCCGCAAGUAUUUUUUGCACCCCCUACCACACUCCACUCAGUUACAUGCUGGGAAUACCACAGUAAAGGCAGGUAAGAUUAGUCCACCCCCUCGCCUUUGAGAUGGGCAUGGGUGGCACCUAAGGUCGCUUUCAAUACUGAGAUUCCUAGAUUCUUAGAGUUGAC